rnacentral:rRNA from 1 species
UACGUAGGGGGCAAGCGUUGUCCGGAAUCAUUGGGCGUAAAGAGCGCGUAGGCGGCCCUGUAAGUCCGCUGUGAAAGUCAAGGGCUCAACCCUUGGAUGCCGGUGGAUACUGCAGGGCUAGAGUCCGGGAGAGGAGCGUGGAAUUCCCAGUGUAGAGGUGAAAUUCGUAGAUAUUGGGAAGAACACCGGUGGCGAAGGCGGCGCUCUGGACCGAGACUGACGCUGAGGCGCGAAAGCGUGGGGAGCAAACAGG